CACUAGACGCAUGUCUAGAGUUUUAAAAAGAUGGGUUCUGCUAUCACUCUUGGGAUGGGACCUGCGGUGCAUUAGCUAGUUGGUAAGGUAAACGGCUUACCAAGGCAAUGAUGCAUAGCCGAGUUGAGAGACUGAUCGGCCACAUUGGGACUGAGACACGGCCCAAACUCCUACGGGAGGCAGCAGUAGGGAAUCUUCCACAAUGGACGCAAGUCUGAUGGAGCAACGCCGCGUGAGUGAAGAAGGGUUUCGGCUCGUAAAGCUCUGUUGGUAGUGAAGAAAGAUAGAGGUAGUAACUGGCCUUUAUUUGACGGUAAUUACUUAGAAAGUCACGGCUAACUACGUGCCAGCAGCCGCGGUAAU
rnacentral:rRNA from 1 species